UUUAACCAUUCAAAACUUGUUUAAAUAUUUUUAAUCCAUCGAUUUCCCUCGCUAGUAGGUUGAUUUUUUGGCAAAAUAACAGGCUUUAAUACAAUUUUAAAACAAUUAAAAAAGAUUUAUUUUUUAAUUUUUUCCUUGUUCAAAUUUGAUUUUUUUUUUUUUCAUAAAAACGAAAAUAUCUUGGGCAAAUUACCUGAUCUGUAAUCUACGACCCAAUCUUAAGUUCACGUGUUUCGGCGUUUUUUUUAUGUGAUUUCAAAACUUGAGAUUUUGGUUACAAUAUUACCGUUGUGACAUGUGGAGCUGCUAACAAAAAGAGUUUAAUUGAAGUGUUGGCUCAUUAAAUACGUUCCGAGAAAACGGCCUAAACCAUAAAACACAGUUUUGGCGAGUUACCUUAAAAAUUAUUGGAUUCUAAUUCUGAGGCUCAGUUCAAGCAAGCAUUCUUUAGAACUGCCUGUUUGCAAACAUGACCAGAUCAGUGUUGCUUUCAAGAAACUUGAAUCAACAUUCAUAUUUUUUAAUAUCUGGAGUUAAACGAAGAAACCCUGCAAAAUCCAGCAGCAUCCUUCUAUAAGAUUUUUUUUACUUAAUUCACAUAAGAGUGUGGCGAUAUUUCAUUCUACACAUUUAUGGGCCUAUAAUUUAUCAUAAAGAUAGAACCAAAGAAGAAAAUAAAGGACAUGUCAAAAAACUGCCUAAAGGUAUGCUACAUUUUUGUUUUAAUCAAGUGCUAACCACACACUCGGUAAGUACACGUGCUAAUCACAUAUCUUUAGAAAUUAUGAAAGCAAAUCUGUAAGCACUUGAGUUAUGUGAAGUCAAUUUGAUCGAAAUAAAGUGAUUUAUGCUGUAAUGUGAAUAUGGUUUAAAGAGACUACUUCAUUUAAAAUCGAUUUAAUAUCCGUAUACUGAAAAUUUUUGAAAUACGAAAACUCCAAUAUUUCAAUAACUAAAUAUGUAUGCUGAAUUACUCUAAGUUAAUAGUUUCAUAUUCACAACGCUCAGUUAACAAAAGUUUAAACCAGCAGGCUCCCAUAGUUAAACUCUUAUGAAAUACAAAUUUUGUUUUUUUGUGGACGAAUUUCAAAUUCGAAUACAAAAUUAUUGAUUUUUAGAAUUUGUAUAUUUUUAGGCGAUAUGAAUUUCUAUAGUUAACUAGUGGCUCUGAAUAAAAAUGCAAAGUUAAACUCUUGUUGGUGGUUAAGUUAACAGUCGUUUAACUAAGCACUGUGAAUCUGGCCCUAAGUCUAAUUGAGCAUAUUAUUGAAAAAGUUGAAAAAAUUACUUAUAAUAUGUGCGCCGGGCGUAUGCACAUAUUUCAGGUUCGCGAGAGCUUGUACUUUUUUACUUGUUUUUAAUAUUUUUUCUUUAAAGGUACAUUUGACUUCAUCAAAGGCUUAUACCAAAAUUGACUAUAUUUUAGUUUAACUGUAAUAAUCUUUAAUACCAACUAAAUUAUGUGUGUGAAAUAUAAAUGGUAUUUAAAACUAAUUAAACCCUCAGAAAAUCUCUAGGGAUUUAGUAAAAAAAUAUUUAAAUAUAUGGGGCCCGCCGAAGACAUAUUCCCUGCAGCCCGGUCCGGCUCUAUGUAUAUGUAUACACAUGUAUAUUUUGCGCGGAAUAGGCAUAAAACCCAAGUCGCCUAAGUGAAUCUUAAACUACGUUUAUCUUUAUGUUUUCACACGGGUAUAUACAGCUUGGAUAAAUUUUCUGGAUUUGAAUACAAACCAUUUUGAAAUUGAGUUAAGCCUCAAGCCAGUUAAAAAAAAAA